rnacentral:rRNA from 1 species
GACGAACCGAGCGAACGUUAUUCGGAAUCACUGGGCUUAAAGCGUGUGUAGGCGGGUCGUUAAGUGCCUUGUGAAAUCCCAUGGCUCAACCAUGGAACUGCUGGGCAUACUGGCGAUCUUGUGCCACCUAGGGGCGAGCGGAACAGAUGGUGGAGCGGUGAAAUGCGUAGAUAUCAUCUGGAACGCCAAUGGUGAAAACAGCUCGCUGGGGGUGUGCAGACGCUGAGACACGAAAGCCAGGGGAGCGAACGGG